CCUACGGGAGGCAGCAGUGAGGAAUAUUGGUCAAUGGACGAGAGUCUGAACCAGCCAAGUAGCGUGAAGGAUGACUGCUCUAUGGGUUGUAAACUUCUUUUAUAAAGGGAUAAAACGAGGCACGUGUGUCUUUUUGCAUGUACUUUAUGAAUAAGGAUCGGCUAACUCCGUGCCAGCAGCCGCGGUAAUACGGAGGAUCCGAGCGUUAUCCGGAUUUAUUGGGUUUAAAGGGUGCGUAGACGGGUUGUUAAGUCAGUUGUGAAAGGUCGCGGCUCAACUGUAAAAUUGCAUCUGAGACUGGCAGGCUUGAGAACAGUUGAGGUAGGCGGAAUGUGUGGUGUAGCGGUGAAAUGCUUAGAUAUCACGCAGAACCCCGAUUGCGAAGGCAGCUUACUAAACUAUGACUGACAUUGAUGCUCGAAAGUGUGGGUAUCAAACAGGAUUAGAUACCCCUGUAGUC
rnacentral:rRNA from 1 species